rnacentral:rRNA from 1 species
GGAGUUGUUGAUAUUAAUACUUCUUAGUCAUUUAGAGGAAGUAAAAGUUGUAACAAGGUUUCAGUAGAUGAACCUGCGGAAGGAUCAAUAUCGAAGCCCGAACGUCUUGGUCAGUUAGAGGAAGUAAAAGUCGUAACAAGGUUUCCGUAGGUGAACCUGCGGAAGGAUCAUUAAAGAGUAAGGGUGGCUUCUGCCCCCGACCUCCAACCCUUUGUUGUUAAAACUACCUUGUUGCUUUGGCGGGACCGCUCGGUCCCCGAGCCGCCGGGGCCCCAGGCCCAGGCGAGCGCCCGCCAGAGUCCAACCAAACUCUUGUUUUAAACCGGUCGUCUGAGUUAAAAUUUUGAAUAAAUCAAAACUUUCAACAACGGAUCUCUUGGUUCUCGCAUCGAUGAAGAACGCAGUGAAAUGCGAUAAGUAAUGUGAAUUGCAGAAUUCAGUGAAUCAUUGAAUCUUUGAACGCACAUUGCGCCCCUUGGUAUUCCGAGGGGCAUGCCUGUUCGAGCGUCAUUACACCACUCAAGCACUGCUUGGUAUUGGGCGACCGUCCCCCUCACGGGGGGCGCGCCUCAAAGACCUCGGCGGAGCCUCAGCGGCUUUGGGCGUAGUAGAAUUUCAUUCGAACGUCCGUCAAUGGAGAGGCCUCCUUUGUCCGACUGAAGCCUUUUAAUUUUUCUAAGGUUGACCUCGGAUCAAGUAUGGAUACCCGCUGACCUUAAGCAUAUCACUAAGCGGAGG